CUGAGAGCAGACCAUUCAAAUAAAUAUGGGGAGGUGUUACUUUAACCGUAUCGGAUGUGGCGUAGCGAGGAGAUGGUGGCUGCGUCCUGGAAUGGACCUUCAGCUGAUUUCUGAUGAACAUGUACUGUGAGCAAGAGAUCAAUCUUUGCUGAUUCACCGGAGCGUGGCUGAACGGACAGAUCCCGGCCGAAGAGGCACCUUCACUCUCAACGCUGGUUCUUGUCGGUAGAAUGCCAGGAUGGAAGCUUCUUCAUCACACCUACUUGACUUUUCUCCUUUUCUGCUGCUGCUUCUCUCAAAUUCGAAAUCUUUGGACUAAGAAUCUGUAAAAUAAAAC
rnacentral:lncRNA from 1 species